rnacentral:misc_RNA from 1 species
UCCUCCGCUUAUUGAUAUGCUUAAGUUCAGCGGGUAUUCCUACCUGAUCCGAGGUCAACCUUGGUGCCGCCGAAGCGGGCUUGUGGGGGGUUUAGAGGCAGGACGCCGAGGACUCCCGAUGCGAGGCGAAUGCUACUGCGCAAAGGAGAGGGCCCUUCGGGUCCGCCACUGGUUUUAGGGGCCUGCCGUGGCAGAUCCCCAACGCCGGGCCACAGGGGCUCGAGGGUUGAAACGACGCUCGGACAGGCAUGCCUCCCAGGAUACUGGAAGGCGCCAUGUGCGUUCAAAGAUUCGAUGAUUCACUGAAUUCUGCAAUUCACAUUACAUAUCGCGUUUCGCUGCGUUCUUCAUCGAUGCUGGAGCCAAGAGAUCCGUUGUUAAAAGUUUUGACAGUUCGCUAAGAACACUCAGAAGUAUCGUCGGGUUCGAAAACAGAGAUUCUGAUGAGACCGGCGGGCACCCUUGCGGGCGCCGCCGAAGCAACAGGUAUAAUAGUUCACAAAGGGUAGAGAGUGUAGUACUCAGUAAUGAUCCCUCCGCUGGUUCACCAACGGAGACCUUGUUACGACUUUUACUUCCUCUAAAUGACCAAG